rnacentral:rRNA from 1 species
UACGUAGGGGGCUAGCGUUGUCCGGAAUCAUUGGGCGUAAAGCGCGCGUAGGCGGCCCGGUAAGUCCGCUGUAAAAGUCAAAGGCUCAACCUUUGAAUGUCAGUGGAUACUGCCGGGCUAGAGUCCGGAAGAGGCGAGUGGAACUCCUGGUGUAGCGGUGGAAUGCGCAGAUAUCAGGAAGAACACCUAUGGCGAAGGCAGCUCUCUGGGACGGUACUGACGCUGAGACGCGAAAGCGUGGGGAGCGAACAGG